rnacentral:ribozyme from 1 species
CCACUCCUUCUCCUACUCGAUCAAGUUAUCCCACUCGCUCAAGUUAUCCCACUCAC